ACGGUAGUGGUAGAUUGGUAUAGCUUUUUUAUCUUUUCGAUUUUCAGACCAUUUAGUACUUGUGGUUUUAUUGCGUCCACAUUACAAGUAGACUAUUAUUAUUAUUACCCAUACGGAUUUUAGAUUUUUAGUUAUCCACAUAAGAAUAAAAGAAUGAAAAAGAAUGACGUAUAUAGUUUCUACUGAAGAAUUGCGUCCCUUUUUUUUCCGGAGGUUUCGUUCUGUUUCUGUUGUGGUAGUCUUCUUUGUUGGCAAUUGGUUUCUCCUCCUUGGUGUUGGUUUCUGUGUUUGAUAGCUUCCUCCUUCUUUCGUCGUGCUUGUUCUCGAUGAAGGUUCUCGAGAGGUUUGUUUCCGGGGAUGUUUUCGUUUUCCUCCGGCUUUGAUUCCGAGGAUUUUAACUUCGUCCGUCGGCUUUGGUUUCCUUUAUUUGGGCAUUGUGUACUUCCUUGGUUCCACAUCAAAUUAAUGAAUAUAAUUUCAGUUUAGUGACAAAAAAAAAAGUUUCUACAUCACUACAUAAACUAGGUAUUUCAAUAAAGACGACAGUACUUGAUAAGUUGAUAUGUCUCAAGGCAAUAUAUGCGUUGCACAUGCAAUGUAUUCUUGAUGGUAACCAGUAUAUUAUACCUAUUUAGACGGUGGGAUUUCAGACCACUCUCUCUUCUGCGACCGAUGUUGACUUGUACCUUUGUUGCAUUACCAAAAUCUGUUAUUCACAUAACAAGAGAAAAACCAUAAAAUUUUAGAUUAUAACCAUG